ACUGAGCUCGAUUUUGUUUUCUUUUCUUUAUGUCGCCUUCUUUCUUUUGAUGCUGAGGGUAGUGUUCAUGCUAGGCUGAUAUGAACUGCCGUUGUACCCAAAAAAAAAAAAGCACUCGUGUUGCCCAUGUUGAAUAGGAUGUUUUACUAAUCUAAUUGAUCUCUCUCUCUCUGUGGUUAGAUAUUUUGUCACACUCUCCCUUCCCUGUCAACUAUUCCAC
rnacentral:lncRNA from 1 species